ensembl:lncRNA
AUGGAGAAUUAAGAAGGUGCAGAUAGAGUGUGGGGAUGAUAUUUGUACUUUUUUUGUUUUUGUUUACAAUGGCAGCAAUGACACUGAAUAGGCAAAGGCAUUGGUUCUAUCCAGUUACCGUGAAUGGAUUAGAAAAGUGAUUACUUACCCAUUGUUUCUAUCAUUGUUAGAACUGCAGUGGAAUGUGGUUUCUCCCCAUUAACAACAAUUUGGAGCGCUUCCCUUUUUCAAGGCCUGCAAAGAACAACACAAUGUUUUAUAUAUUUUUCUCACUGCUCGGACGGGAAAUGCAAUUUAGAAACCUUUUAGAUUGUAUUUGUUAAAAGUCGUGUUAAAUAUCAACAGCAAUCAAUGUUUUUAAGGCUCUGAUCACAAAUACCAAAAACGUUGUACGUAUUUAGUAUGUAUAAUAAGCCCGUCAGAUUGUGAUUACUCUGGCAGGUUUCUAAUAGUGGCUUCGUUACAAGCACAACAUGACUCGGGGAGACUUUACACGAUUAAAGGAGAUUGUUAAGACCAUUAAAAGCCCUAUAUAGAAUCUUGGAAUAGCUGCAGCGCAUGUGCCAACGGGAUCAUUGCCGCACUGGUUUGUUUAUGUUGACUUUCAACUUUUCAGUUCAUCCAAUGUAAACCCACUAAUGAGCUUUCUAAGCAUGAUGUCUGGCUGCUGUGUACUUUAUGUUUGCGAAGAAUAUUAAUUAAUAGAAAGCAUCUGCUGUACUGGCAUACAACAACAACAAAAAUAAACUCAGUUACUAUGCAUUUGUACAUUCAUAAUGCCUCAACUCUGCUCCUGAGCUUUUGCUUUGCGAUUGGAUUUAUGUGUUUGACCCAAUGUAUUACAAUAAUACGGCAACAAUAAUAAGCAUCAUGAAUGCUGCAUUCAGGGACCUGUAGAAAAAUUCUACGUUCAAACGUCUCGCAGGUGAGCGGUCCAUACUGCCGAGUAAGGGUGAGUGAUUCCCUCUCCAGGGGCCCACGUAUCCAGUUGCGUGUAAUGAUCCACAGGAGGCCCGAGGAAGUCCUCACGGUCCUCCUCGCGAAAUACGAUCACCGGCGGCGUCAUGCGAGCUUUGCCUGUUACCACGAACGGCU